rnacentral:lncRNA from 1 species
AUUGGCUUGCCUUUGAUGCAUUUUACUAUUGAAACUACUUCUGUAUCUUAGAGAAUACUGACAACAAGAGCUUCCGUAAGAGACAGGAGGAAAGAGGGGGCAGAACCUGACAGCUGCGGUGACCGGUUGCUCAUCUUGUGAGCUCCAUACUGCAAAGCUUAAAAAUACCGUAGCUAUAUUUGCCACUUACAGCUUAGAAUUCAAUCAGAGGAAUUACCCCGGAGACAGGAGGGGUUCUCCACAGCUGAUUUUGCUGUCUUCCCGACCGAGAUCGGCGGCUUACACAGGAGGUAGACCUGCGGCCUACAAGUAGGCCUACUUACAGUGAACGUGGGGGAGGUGGACGAUACCUCAGUUUGCUGCUAGAAACUACCUUCGAGGUCUUGCCUUCAUUCUCAUCCCCCCCCCCCUGCUGGUGAGGGAUAUCCUGGUACAGCAAUCUUCCAUCCAUAGCACCCAGCUUUCAGUGGAUAAGAUGGCGUAUGCCACGUGCAAAGCAGCACGUCAGGACCCGUGCCUCGAUUUCAUGUCAAAACUGGAUAAACUGCUUUCCGACUUCUGCAAUACACUUACCCAUUGCCACAGUACUCCUCCUGAAGUCCCGCUGGUAUCUUCUUUGCAUCAGACCGCUCGGCAUCGCACAUACUCUGACACUGCACUGCACUGAAGGUCAGGAAACAGAGACAGGCGAUUCAGAAAGCGCUUCAGGGUUGGAGGCUCAGUCCUGCAAAGGACCAUCAUCUUACUGGACUGCAGCCCGGGCAGGGACAGUCCCCUACACGCCACUCACUCCCCCGGAAGGCCACUACUACUACUGUGCACAAGCAACCUGGUGGAGACCAUAGAGACCAAAUCCUAGUCAGAACCCUUGCUGGGACUCGUACGCUUGGUGUUCUGGGCUGUGUUGAGGCCUGGGGCUGGUGGGAUGCAGACAAGUGGGACAUGGGUCACUCUGAGUGCCAGGGUGGUGUCCUGAAUGUGCAGGGUGUAGGUUGACCUAUGAUUCUUAUCCUAGGAAGAACUGCUGUGCAAGAUUGCCAUUGAUAUGUUUUACUUUAUGUUAUGUUCCGUUUCUCUUGCCUUGCACCGUACACAACAAUUGUUUAUAAGCAUGAUUCUCACUCUACAUGUCAGUAAAUCUAUGACAGUCUAUCUCUAGUAACCUGUUAGCUGGAGCUGCAAUUAAUCUAUCUAUCUUACAUAAAAAAGUGCAGCUAAUCGUGUAUUUUUUUUGUUUUUACUAAACCUCUCUGUGGGAUGUAAUGUUCUAUGCAGAAGCCAGCAUAGAUAUCAGAUAAUAACUAUGAAUUUCUUAGAACUUUGGCACAGAUGCAAAUUUUUGCUUACGAUAGCCAAAAUAAUUAAGCUCCUUGAGUAGCAAUGUUUAAAAUGUUUUAAAUAGAUUCUAUAUUGAGGAUGUGGUUAGAGAUUUGCUAGUGUCAGGUCUAAGUUUGUGUUUAGAUAAAGGGAGGAGGAGGCAUUCAAAUGUGAGGAUCCUUCGUAUAAACAAAAUCCUAAACCACUUCAUGUACCCAGAGUUCAAGGCCUUCAAAC